GACGAACGCUGGCGGCGUGCUUAACACAUGCAAGUCGAACGAUGAACCGGUUUCGGCCGGGGCUUAGUGGCGAACGGGUGAGUAACACGUGGGCAAUCUGCCCUGCACUCUGGGAUAAGCCCGGGAAACUGGGUCUAAUACCGGAUACGACACUCCGAGGCAUCUUGGGGUGUGGAAUUUUCGGCGGUGCAGGAUGAGCCCGCGGCCCAUCAGCUUGUUGGUGGGGUAAUGGCCUACCAAGGCGACGACGGGUAGCCGGCCUGAGAGGGUGACCGGCCACACUGGGACUGAGACACGGCCCAGACUCCUACGGGAGGCAGCAGUGGGGAAUAUUGCACAAUGGGCGAAAGCCUGAUGCAGCGACGCCGCGUGAGGGAUGACGGCCUUCGGGUUGUAAACCUCUUUCAGCAGGGAAGAAGCGAAAGUGACGGUACCUGCAGAAGAAGCACCGGCUAACUACGUG
rnacentral:rRNA from 1 species